CGAACCCGGCUCCGCUGUCCGGCGGCGCGGGGGCAGGACGGGAUGCAGGGCAGCGGUGCCGGUGUGCCCGUCAGCCGGGCGGAUCGAGGGGGCUCCGGCCGCGGAAAGGGAGGGUGGCGGCGCCGCCAUUCCCCCGCCUCCCCUCGCUUCAGGCGCCCGCGAACGCUCGGGUGCGGCUUUCCGUGAGGUGAUGGGCGCUGCAGAAACACCGCAGGCAUCUGCACUGAAGCGUUCUGGAUUUCAUUGGGCAUGGUGCCUGAUAGUGAUUACAAAAUCUGCUGCUGAAGCAACUCCUAAAGGAGGUGGCAGACCUAUGGUUGUGGAUCCUUUGCACAUAUAAAUGUUAUUGUGUGUGUCUGUUUGACCAUGGUAGGGUAUUUCAUGUAUUAUAGAAACCAGUUUUGUACCUCCAGACUCAAUGUCACUCUCACAAUAGAUCCUUCCUUUCAAACAUAUUUUCUCUCAUUUGAGCCUUUAAAAAAAAGAGGAAAAAAGAAAACUUGAAAAAUUGUAACUUUUUAUGAAAAAUAUACAUGAUUGUCACCUUCUGGGGAAAAGGGGAACUUUUACUGUGUCCGCUGUUGUUAUAAGUGAAAUGUGGUGUACAGCAUGCUAAGUAACUGCUCAGUUAAAUGUCAGUGUGAACCUAGAAAUCCUCAGCAGAGGAAAAAAUAAAUAUUUUUAUUUUCUCUGAAAGCUUCCCUGU
rnacentral:lncRNA from 1 species